rnacentral:rRNA from 1 species
GAUGAACGCUGGCGGCGUGCCUAAUACAUGCAAGUCGAGCGAACGGACGAGAAGCUUGCUUCUCUGAUGUUAGCGGCGGACGGGUGAGUAACACGUGGAUAACCUACCUAUAAGACUGGGAUAACUUCGGGAAACCGGAGCUAAUACCGGAUAAUAUUUUGAACCGCAUGGUUCAAAAGUGAAAGACGGUCUUGCUGUCACUUAUAGAUGGAUCCGCGCUGCAUUAGCUAGUUGGUAAGGUAACGGCUUACCAAGGCAACGAUGCAUAGCCGACCUGAGAGGGUGAUCGGCCACACUGGAACUGAGACACGGUCCAGACUCCUACGGGAGGCAGCAGUAGGGAAUCUUCCGCAAUGGGCGAAAGCCUGACGGAGCAACGCCGCGUGAGUGAUGAAGGUCUUCGGAUCGUAAAACUCUGUUAUUAGGGAAGAACAGAUGUGGAAGUAAAUGUGCACAUCUUGACGGUACCUAAUCAGAAAGCCACGGCUAACUACGUG